rnacentral:rRNA from 1 species
CAAAAAUAACGAUACGGGACUCAUCCGAGGCCCCGUAAUCGGAAUGAGUACACUCUAAACCCUUUAACGAGGAUCAAUUGGAGGGCCAGUCUGGUGCCAGCAGCCGCGGUAACACCAGCUCCAAUAGCGUAUAUUAAAGUUGUUGCGGUUAAAAAGCUCGUAGUCGAAUUUGUGUCCCGCGCCGCCGGUUCAUCGCUCGCGGUGUUAACUGGCGUGUCCGCGGGACGUCCUGCCGGUGGGCUUAGCUUUCGGGCGGCCCAAUCUCAAUCCCACCGCGGUGCUCUUUACUGAGUGUCGAGGUGGGCCGGCACGUUUACUUUGAACAAAUUAGAGUGCUUAAAGCAGGCUAAAAUAUCGCCUGAAUACUGUGUGCAUGGAAUAAUGGAAUAGGACCUCGGUUCUAUUUUGUUGGUUUUCGGAACCCCGAGGUAAUGAUUAAUAGGAACGGAUGGGGGCAUUCGUAUUGCGACGUUAGAGGUGAAAUUCUUGGAUCGUCGCAAGACGGACAGAAGCGAAAGCAUUUGCCAAAAACGUUUUCAUUGAUCAAGAACGAAAGUUAGAGGUUCGAAGGCGAUCAGAUACCGCCCUAGUUCUAACCAUAAACGAUGCCAGCUAGCGAUCCGCCGACGUUCCUCCGAUGACUCGGCGGGCAGCUUCCGGGAAACCAAAGCUUUUGGGAUCCGGGGGAAGUAUGGUUGCAAAGCUGAAACUUAAAGGAAUUGACGGAAGGGCACCACCAGGAGUGGAGCCUGCGGCUUAAUUUGACUCAACACGGGAAACCUCACCAGGCCCGGACACCGGAAGGAUUGACAGAUUGAGAG